rnacentral:sRNA from 1 species
GUGAUCGUCGACUCAGCUGACCCUGCGGGACCGGAAAAAGAAAUUCCCGGGCCCUGGCUUCUUGACGCGAUGAGGUUCCGGUUCUGUGGUGAUCUGGACUGUCCCGACUGGGUCCUGGCAGAAAUCAGCACGCUGGCCAAGAUGGUUAAGUGCACAGGGUCUACACUGGGUGGAGGAGGGGUGUUGGGCUGGGGAUUGUGGCUGUAGAGGAUGGUGAGGUUUCUCUGGGGCUAGGGCCUCAGUGCUCUCAGCCUGUGCUGCCAUGCUUUGUGACCUUGAUCAGUGGCUGGCCUGCUCUGAGCCUGUCCCCAGGAAGGAGGGGUGAGGUUUGCCAGCCUGGCUGAUGUAAGGACUUCCCUUCCAGUCCUCUGUGAAGUUGCGGCUGCUCUGCAGCCAGGUACUAAAGGAGCUGCUGGGACAGGGGAUUGAUGUGAGUACAAGAUCCAGCACCCCAUUGUCCCAUGACCUUAUGACCACCACUGCCCUGAAACUCUGCACUAGGCCCGGGGAGACGGGUGAGCCAGCCUCUCAACCUCUCUGGGCACCUCCCUUCCUUCUUUCCAGCCUGUCUGUUCCUUAUCGCAGGAUCCAGGCUGGGGGUGAGGGGCUGGUGAGCAAGGGCCUGGCACCCCCUGAAGGUCUCCUUUCCCCAUAGUAUGAGAAGAUCCUGAAGCUCACGGCUGACGCCAAGUUUGGUGAGUAUCCCGCUGAGUCUAUAAGCCCCAGGCAACCCUGGGAACUUGGCCUGGUGCCUGGUACAGAGUGGCCCCCCACCCCUCCCAGCAGCAUCCUUAACUUACCUUCCCUAGUGGAGGAGCAUGAGGGAAAGAAAGACCGACAGUCCCACCUUCCUGUCCUCUGUCAGCUCCUGGUGGAGCAGUAGCAGUGCCUGUGGCUCCAGGAGGCCUGGGGGCUUUGAGCUAAAGUUAAUAGGGCAACAGGGAGGUGGCUGGACCCACAGUGACACCCCCUGCCCCACCCACGGGUCCCUCAGAGUCAGGCGAUGUGAAGGCCACAGUGGCAGUGCUGAGUUUCAUCCUCUCCAGUGCGGCCAAGCACAGUGUCGAUGGCGAAUCCUUGUCCAGUGAACUGCAGCAGCUGGGGCUGCCCAAAGGUACGGGUUGUGGGUUGGCAGCUGGGCAGCCUGUCGGCCAAGGGCUGCUAGAGAGGGGACAGGCCCUGAGGUGUACCCUGCCCUGUUUGGGCCAGGAGCCCAAGCCCAGCCCCCACCUGCUACCUCCAGAGCUUCUCCAUUCUACCCCCAGAGCACGCGGCCAGCCUGUGCCGCUGUUAUGAGGAGAAGCAAAGCCCCUUGCAGAAGCACUUGCGGGUCUGCAGCCUACGCAGUAAGUAUGAGGCCAGCCAGGGUCCGGGCUCAUUCUAGAAGGUGCACGCAGCACGCAAAGUGCAUGGAGAGUCCAGGGAGACGACUUAACCACGGUCACAUGGUUACUAGCAGCCGUAGAGCUGGGACCUGGCCCUGGGUCUCCUGACUCCCCCCAAGGUUUCUUGUCACUGAGGUCUGCUGUGGGUGAUGCGAACUGAUUAUCGGGCACCUGCCCUGUUCUGAGCCUGGGUCAGCAGGAUGGGAGCUUCUUAGAGGCCACAUAGCCUUGAAUGGUUGAGAGCUGAGCCAGGGUGUCGGCUGAGGUCUACUUGGCUUGCCUGCUUUGAUCCUGAGAGCCACCCACCCCAUCUCACAGUGAAUAGGUUGGCAGGUGUGGGCUGGCGGGUGGACUACACCCUGAGCUCCAGCCUGCUGCAAUCCGUGGAAGAGCCCAUGGUGCACCUGCGGCUGGAGGUGGCAGCUGCCCCAGGGACCCCAGCCCAGCCUGUUGCCAUGUCCCUCUCAGCAGACAAGUUCCAGAUCCUCCUGGCAGGUGAGGCUCAGCUAUUCCUUGACGGGUAAGAGGCUCUCCCAGAUCCGCCUGACUGCCUCCCACCUGCCCACCUCUUCCCUCUGCAGAACUGAAGCAGGCCCAGACCCUGAUGAGCUCCCUGGGCUGAGGAGAAGGGUGUUCCAGGCCUGUGUGGAGCCGCCCUGCCCAUAUGGAGUCACGCCCUCUGAACUGCUCUUCGGGAGGCAGCCCUGGUUCUAGGAUGCUGAGGCCCUGGCCCGGACUCUGGCCUCCCAGAUCCCCAGCUGCCUCACUUCUCUCUUGAGAACUUGGCUCAGGGCUCCUGAGGACCUUUCCCAGCAUUACCUUCCCUUCCCUUGAAAGGCAAUUGUUGGCUGUUUUCAUAAGCAGGAAAAAUAAACAGAAGUAUAACGGAA